GAGAGAAGUCUUGUAGAACUGAGGUUUCUUCCAACAUUCCAGGUGGAGUUUACUUCCAACUCCUGGUGUCCUGAAGUCCUUCCCCGCCAGAACUACCUGCACUUGACUCCACAGAACACUAGUCAUUUUUGAGAAGACCCAAGGAAGCAUGAAGGGCCCAGUAGUGCCUCCUUAGAGUUGGGGAUCUUGGGAGAAGUCGCAGGAACUUUUGGUACCCUAAGUUCACAGUUUGAUGUAUGCACAUGCUUCUGGUGGCGAAUGGAAGAGAGGAGAAAUGUGACGCUUCAGCAGGUAUGAGUCCUUCCCAAAGGUUCUAAUUAUUGAUCCACAUAUCCAACAAAAUGUUCAUGUUGGCUCACCUUUUCC
rnacentral:lncRNA from 1 species